AUUGAAUUCUGGCGGCAGGCUUAACACAUGCAAGUCGAACGAUGAUUAUCUAGCUUGCUAGAUAUGAUUAGUGGCGGACGGGUGAGUAACAUUUAGGAAUCUGCCUAGUAGUGGGGGAUAGCUCGGGGAAACUCGAAUUAAUACCGCAUACGACCUACGGGUGAAAGGGGGCGCAAGCUCUUGCUAUUAGAUGAGCCUAAAUCAGAUUAGCUAGUUGGUGGGGUAAAGGCCCACCAAGGCGACGAUCUGUAACUGGUCUGAGAGGAUGAUCAGUCACACCGGAACUGAGACACGGUCCGGACUCCUACGGGAGGCAGCAGUGGGGAAUAUUGGACAAUGGGGGCAACCCUGAUCCAGCCAUGCCGCGUGUGUGAAGAAGGCCUUUUGGUUGUAAAGCACUUUAAGCAGGGAGGAGAGGCUAAUGGUUAAUACCCAUUAGAUUAGACGUUACCUGCAGAAUAAGCACCGGCUAACUCUGUGCCAGCAGCCGCGGUAAUACAGAGGGUGCGAGCGUUAAUCGGAAUUACUGGGCGUAAAGCGAGUGUAGGUGGCUCAUUAAGUCACAUGUGAAAUCCCCGGGCUUAACCUGGAACUGCAUGUGAUACUGGUGGUGCUAGAAUAUGUGAUAGGGAAGUAGAAUUCCAGGUGUAGCGGUGAAAUGCGUAGAGAUCUGGAGGAAUACCGAUGGCGAAGGCAGCUUCCUGGCAUAAUAUUGACACUGAGAUUCGAAAGCGUGGGUAGCAAACAGGAUUAGAUACCCUGGUAGUCCACGCCGUAAACGAUGUCUACUAGCCGUUGGGGUCCUUGAGACUUUAGUGGCGCAGUUAACGCGAUAAGUAGACCGCCUGGGGAGUACGGCCGCAAGGUUAAAACUCAAAUGAAUUGACGGGGGCCCGCACAAGCGGUGGAGCAUGUGGUUUAAUUCGAUGCAACGCGAAGAACCUUACCUGGUCUUGACAUAGUGAGAAUCCUGCAGAGAUGCGGGAGUGCCUUCGGGAAUUCACAUACAGGUGCUGCAUGGCUGUCGUCAGCUCGUGUCGUGAGAUGUUGGGUUAAGUCCCGCAACGAGCGCAACCCUUUUCCUUAUUUGCCAGCGGGUUAAGCCGGGAACUUUAAGGAUACUGCCAGUGACAAACUGGAGGAAGGCGGGGACGACGUCAAGUCAUCAUGGCCCUUACGACCAGGGCUACACACGUGCUACAAUGGUAGGUACAGAGGGUUGCUACACAGCGAUGUGAUGCUAAUCUCAAAAAGCCUAUCGUAGUCCGGAUUGGAGUCUGCAACUCGACUCCAUGAAGUCGGAAUCGCUAGUAAUCGCAGAUCAGAAUGCUGAGGUGAAUACGUUCCCGGGCCU
rnacentral:rRNA from 1 species